UUUGGACGGUGACAUUAUAUGUGC
rnacentral:siRNA from 1 species